rnacentral:rRNA from 1 species
AACGAACGCUGGCGGCAGGCCUAACACAUGCAAGUCGAACGGGUGUAGCAAUACAUCAGUGGCGCACGGGAGAGUAACGCGUGGGAACCUACCUUUUGGUUCGGAAUAACGUCGGGAAACUGACGCUAAUACCGGAUAAGCCCUACGGGGGAAAGAUUUAUCGCCGAAAGAUGGGCCCGCGUUAGAUUAGCUUGUUGGUGAGGUAACGGCUCACCAAGGCUACGAUCUAUAGCUGGUCCAAGAGGAUGAUCAGCCUCACUGGGACUGAGACACGGCCCAGACUCCUACGGGAGGCAGCAGUGGGGAAUAUUGGACAAUGGGGGCAACCCUGAUCCAGCCAUGCCGCGUGAAUGAUGAAGGCCUUCGGGUUGUAAAGUUCUUUUGGCGGGGACGAUGAUGACGGUACCCGCAGAAUAAGCUCCGGCUAACUUCGUGCCAGCCGCCGCCGUAA